rnacentral:rRNA from 1 species
CCUACGGGGGGCAGCAGUGGGGAAUAUUGGACAAUGGGGGCAACCCUGAUCCAGCCAUGCCGCGUGUGUGAAGAAGGCCCUCGGGUUGUAAAGCACUUUCAGUGAGGAAGAACGCCUGGUGGUUAAUACCCAUCAGGAAAGACAUCACUCACAGAAGAAGCACCGGCUAACUCCGUGCCAGCAGCCGCGGUAAUACGGAGGGUGCGAGCGUUAAUCGGAAUUACUGGGCGUAAAGCGCGCGUAGGUGGCUUGAUAAGCCGGUUGUGAAAGCCCCGGGCUCAACCUGGGAACGGCAUCCGGAACUGUCAAGCUAGAGUGCAGGAGAGGAAGGUAGAAUUCCAGGUGUAGCGGUGAAAUGCGUAGAGAUCGGGAGGAAUACCAGUGGCGAAGGCGGCCUUCUGGACUGACACUGACACUGAGGUGCGAAAGCGUGGGUAGCAAACAGGAUUAGAUACCCCAGUAGUC